GUAUAACUAGGUAUAACUAGGUUUAAAGUUUCUGAUUUAACUCAUAUUUGACUAGGUUUAUGUUUUAGUCUCUUGGAUUUUUUAGGAAGCUCUUUCCUGUUUGAAAUUUGAAUUGAUUAUUUACUUUGUUUGUUCAUCGGUUCAGGUGGUUUUUAACAAGAAGAAGUAGUUUAAGCUGUGCACUGCUUAAACUCCUGCUGAUUCUAUUGCACCAAGAUCGUGUCAGCUGCAGAGCUAACUUGGUUUAGCUGCUGAUUUGUGCUGAUUGUUGCUCAGUGAGUGUGUAUCUGGUUUGAUUCUUCUAUCCGAGUUCAGUUGAGAAGGCGCAUUUGAGGCAUGCUUCUGCAAAGGCGGUUCUUCGUCUCUCCAAGCACUGGAAUCAUAAGAUACCUGUUGAUAUCUUCUACUUAACCUUGAAGACUUCGGAGAUUUUUACAUAAUGUCUCAAUCUCAAAGUCAAAGUGCCCCUAGCAGUACUAAUGUAGCAUCAUCUACGGCUACAUCACCAUGUCCUCCACAACCAACACAAGCACAACCCAUACAACCAUCAAUGCCUCCCCCAAACCCCUCGUCCUCUAGAAAAAGAAAAGCACCACCUAUUCCAAAGACAAAACAACCAACUAUAAUAGCUUCACUAGGGAGAUCUUCUUCUGAGAGAUCUUGGGUUUGGGAUCAUUUCACUAAGUGUACCGUCUCGGAAAUGCAAGAAGUAGAAAAGGAUGGAAAGAAAGAGAAGGUGGAGGUACAAGUAUUGAAGGCUAAGUGUAACCAUUGUAGCUCCUUUUUUGCAUGUGAUACUAGUGGGGGUGGAACUAGUACUUACAUUAAACAUAUCAAUAAACAUUGCAAGUCAUAUCAACCAACUGAUGAGUUGCAAAAGGUUCUAGGCAGUUCUGGACCUUCUGGGGAUGGGAAUGUCAAAAACAUGCUUGUUGCUAAAGGGUGGAGCCAAGAAGAAAGUGAGGAAGGUAUUAUUGAGUUUAUUGUGCUCGAGGAGGUACCUUUUAGUAUUGUGGAGAGUGAAGGGUUUAGGCGGAUGAUGUGCAAAGUCCAGCCUAGAUUGCAUGUUCCAUCUCGGAGAACUAUGAUGAGGGGGUUAUUCAAUAUGUAUGAUAGCAUGAAAAAUCAGUUAAAAAAGGAGAUACACAAUCAUAGAGUGAGCUUGACUACUGAUACAUGGACAAGUGUGCAAAAUUUGAACUACAUGGUGCUAACUGCU